GCCAGGGUGGUAUAUUGGUUUGAAUAUUGGACCAUGACUCUGGAGACCAGGGUUCAAAUCCCUGCUCAGCCA